UUCAACCGAAGUUCUGAUCUACUUAUUAAAACUAUUUGCCAGAUGGAAUCUUGCUUCUUGAAGCUAAUAGAAUGUUCAGAGCUGGAGGAUAUUUUGUAUGGGCAGUAUUGCCAGUCUAUAAACUUGAAGAUAACUUGCAAAAGCAGUGGAAAGAAAUGGAGAAUCUUACGUCCCAUAUUUGCUGGGAACUGGUAAAAGGGAGGGUUAUAUUGCUAUAUGGAGGAAGCCUUUGAACAACAUUUGUUAUCUGAAUCGUGAAGUUGGUGCGAAACCUCCACUUUUUGACCCGAAAAAUUAUCGAGACAGUGUCAGGCAUGUGGGACAGAAGGUCUGUAUUACAAGGGUACCUAAUAACGGAUGUGAAUGUUGUCGGAGAGAGAAUAAGUACCCUCAAUUUUGCAGAGAGGGUUGCCUCUAUAGUACUUGGAGCUGCUCGAGCUAACACUUGAACGUGAAGCAAAUACUAUUUUAUUGGAGAAGGGAUCAUUGAAGUAGCUAAAUGUAGGCUGUAUUUUACAAGAGUGAGACUAGGAACUACCCCAAGGGAAUACAAUGUGCAGAUUAUGGGUUCCAUUUAUUGACUGUCCACGGGCGAGUGGGUUUCAUUUAUGUUUCUACUCAAUAUCGCGCUUUAUUGUGUGAUUAUUUGAAUGAUGGUUAUUAGUUUCUGCUGACUGAUAUUAGGUCGAGCUCAAUUUCUAUGAUAUCAAUGGCUCCUCAACUGCCAACGCAGUUUCUUGUUCAGACCCAGUAUGUAGUACUAUGGUUCCACCAGCAUCGUCUCACUGCUCAGCUGAAAGUAAACAGUGCGGUUACUCGUUUCAAUAUGGUGAUGGAAGUGGGACCUCAGGGUUUUAUGUGUCUACUAUGAUGUACUUUUAUAUGAUCUAGGGAGCUCUAUGAACGCUAAUUCACCUGCCUCUAUCGUUUUCAGAUGCAACAAUUAUCAAUCUGGAGAUUUGAUCAAUUCAGAACGUGCUCUUGAUGGGAUCUUUGGUUUUGGUCAGCAGGGCUUGUCCUUUGUAUCUCAAUUUUCUUCCAGGGUAAUAACACCUCAACCAUUUUCCCAUUUUUGAAAGGAGGAGGAAAUGGUGGGGUUAUUCUGGUGCUUGUAAGAUUUUGGGCCCAAGUAUUGCGUAUGGUCCACUUGUGCCAUCAUAGGAGGAGAGGAUGCUGCCAUUGUCAGAUACAUGUACACAAGGAUGACUGAAAUCACUAGAGAACUACUAGGAAAGAUACUGGAAUCACUUCACAGUUAGUGGAACUAUUGAGGUAGUGGAUGUAGACAGUGCAAGUGAUGCAAGUGAUGCAAGUGAAGGGACGAUGUAACUCUCAGAAUCACUGAACUACCAGUUCGGAAGUGGACUCAAGAUUAUAAGGAAUUUUAAAGAGAGACAGAGAUCAAAUGAUGUAGCAAAAUUAAAUGAUGCGGCGAAUAUUCGGUGCUAAGGAGUUCUUUGAGAUUUUUCAAAGAUGCUUCUGAUCAGGUAUUGAUGUACAUUUCUCUAUUUUCACCGAUCGUGGAGUCUAGGACUUCUAACAGUCUGUGCCUCUCAAUUUUGAGUUUCAUAAAAAGGUUGUGAUUCUUUUCAUUCUGUACUUAUUGUGCAACUCCUUUAACACCUAAGAAAACUUUAGAAAUAUUUUCAGCAGUAAUGUGUAAUGAACAUGCCUAAUAAAGAUGAUUCAGUUAUUUCA